AAAAAUAAAACACGGUAGCGAUUGGGUGAGAGGGAAAACGAGAUCGGGGGGUUAGCGUGUAUAGAACGGCUUCUCGUCCCCAACCCCGCCGCCGCCCCAAUCCCACCACCGGCGGCCUCCUCCUCCCCUAACGCUGCCGCUCCAGCCCCUCACCUUCCUCGGCCGAUUUAGCACCGUCGCCGCCCCUCGGCACGCAACCUCUCCUCUCCUCCGCGGCUCCGCCUCUUCCUUCGGCGGCAUCCAACCCAAUCGCCAUCUCCUACUCCCCUCUCUUAUUCCCCUGCGCCUCGACGAGGUGGGCCAAGCCGGCGCACGCAGCAAAGGGCGACUGCGGAUGCAGCUCGGACGCGGGCGCGCAGAGGUGGAGGCGGAGCUGCGGCGGCUGGUGGUGGACGGGAAUCCCGCCGACCGCAUCCCUCCCCAAACUGCAGCGAUGAUGGAGGGAGCCGCCAGCGCCGGCCAGCUACCGACCGACGGGCUCGCCGGUCGCGCAUCGGCUUGGAGGCCCCCCUGGGUUGCCGCCGGUGCGGGAGGCGUCCGCGGCCGUGCGGACUGGGGACCGAGCGGCGGGGCCCGUGGUGCGUUCUGGUCGAGGGCUUGCUCGAUCUGGCACGCGAUCUGAGACCCCGUCAAUGGAUUUCUCGCAGCCCGGCUGUUUGUUUUGGAUUCAGUACGACCCACAUCUCUCUCACACACAUGUUGCGGCCGAAAUCACUGGUUUGACUUAUUUGGAAAAGUUCAGCACAAAAUGAACCAUGUUGGAAACAUAUCUGGGGCGAUGAUGAUAAAACAUGGCUGACAUAAACUUGUCUUUGAUUAUUCAAGGACCCGGGGGCAUAAAAAACCCACUCCCCCCUCUUUUGGAACCUUUUCAUUCUCACUGAAUAUUGACGGCUCCGUAUUGGAUGGUCACUCUUUGAGUGAUGGAGCUCGACUUCAGUGGUGGGGAUUGAUCUGGUGCAAGAAGACGCUGGAGCCGUGGUGCUAGGUUCUAUGAUCUAUCAAAGGCGAAUCUAAGCCCUCUCAAAUCUCAAUGCAACUAAUAUUGUGGCCUCUACACAUUUAUUUAUCCCCUUUUUAUGUUUAAAAGUGAUGAAUUGUUGUGGUUGUGGCAUCUGCUAUCUUAGUAAGAGCAGCUAUGCAAAUAUCACCUCUCGUGGUGUUUGGUUUGCCUUCUCAUUAUUUUGUUGUCCAUGGUGGGAACCAGUUUGGUGCAUUCAGACUUUUUAUUUUUCUGUUUUUACUUUUCCUUGAAUGGCUGUGAUCAUUCUGCUGUCCCUUGGAUAGUUUAUUUUAGGUUAUUUUAUCGGGUUCGGGUCAGUUUGCUUGUUUCAGUUGUUGUUUUACUUUUUAUAAUAUCUUUCUUCUACUAUACUAUUUAUCUACUUAUCAGUUUGUACUUUUGGUUACUCCCCACUUCUUUACUGGUUUCAACUUAUGGGUCAUAUAGGGCAAGUUCAGAUGUCAAGAUAACGGUUUCCUUCCUAUCAUGUUCAUGAAUGGCUAUGAUGAUAUAGCUUUCCUGCGUCGAUCUAACAUCUGUUUGGAUUUUGUAUAUUGAGCAUUUAGGAGGCUGUUCUGGAUUGAUGCGCUUUGUAGUGGCAGAAUUCAUGUUUAAUUUAUUGCAGGAGAUGAAAUUGAGAGGCUGAUGUAAAUUCGUUUGUGUGUAGAUUUUGUCAGUUCUAGGAUUGGAUGUUUAUGCAGUCUCUCUGUCUCUCCUGGAGGUUAGCCGAUUGAUGGAUUUGACUGCUGAUCCCUUUGUGUUGGCUGAUGGUGUUGAGAUAGAAAUAAGGAUUAAACAUGACCCUGAUGCUGAGGCAAUAUUCCAAUAUCAUUAGAGGGCCAGUGUUCUUCCAAAGAUGAUUUAGAAUCUCAAAAAUGUUUCUUACGUAGUCAGGAAUUUGGGUUCAUGGUUGAAGUAACAAAUACAUAUGCAGCUUCUUGGUUCUGUCGUUUACAAUUCUUUUUUUAGGUAUGUUUACAACCUUUGUUGUUCCAUAUAGUUUGUUUCUUAAAUAUCCUAAGCAUAUAUUAUCGAAUAGACUCACUUUCCUGUUUUUGUGAUAAAUGAAAAGAAUAAUGUACAUGUUAAUGACAUGAUAAAUCUUCUACUUUCAAUUUGGUUAUGAUUUGAGAAUGCUCACAUAUAUUUUCUGUGCUGCAUCACCCCAUGGUCUGUGAUAGUGUCCAACUAGGGAUUUGAAUGUCAGGACCUAGCUAAUACUACGAUGUUAUCAGGUUAAUAAAUAAUACAGUACUGUUUAGCUAUUAGGUUCUAUGAGUAUGGCCGGGGUGAACCCUUCAACUUUGCUCAUUGGCACUGAAAGAAUAAAUAAUUGAUCUUUCAUUUCUUCAUUGAAAAUAUGUCAUUUUGUUUUUAAAGAAAAGUUAUAUGAAAAGUUGUAGUAGAACACUGCUAGCUGUAAUUCCCCAUGUGUCUUGGCAUUUUAGAUGGAGUGGGAACCUUUAAGAGGAAGUAUCAAGCGGCAUGAGCACCUAUGGUAGAAUGAUGUGUUGACAGUGUACCUAAUCCACCUGUAUUGACAAUGCAUAUAAUUUUUAAACUCAAGAUUAUAUUAUCAGCUGCAAUCUCUGUUCUCUUUUAAACUCAAGACUUUUAAACAAGAUCAUAUACAAUGUGAACCAAAGAUAGUUGAGUAUACAGUUUAAUUCUGCAGUUUGUUCUGUUAGACAAAUUACUAUUGUGUUGAAUCCUUGCUGUGGUGUGCUUAAUUGUUUCCUUAUGUUUGUACCUGCCAGUUCUAAGCACCUAUCUUUUCUUCUUAUUUUGUAUCUAUACAUAACAAUUCUAUUUUUCUUACCUCUGCAAUUAUACGACCUGUAUAGUAUUCACAUGGAUCUUAAGGUACUGAACUUCCAAAUUAGAACAUGGCCUAAAUUUGAGAUUUCCCGAAUGUAUACUUUUGUUUUCUUUCAUUCUUUGGAGGUGAUAAGUUGGUUGCUUAAUGCUCUUUACUGCAUGAGUAAAUUUCUUUUUCUUUAUUUCUAAAGUCAGUUUUAUUUUCUUCGUGAAUGUUUCUUGACGCAAAUAUAUAGUGAAAGUGGUUUCAGAAAAGAAGCAAAUCGUUCGAGCCAACCUAUUUAUAUGGUGUGGAGAAUCGAAGGUUCUUGGCUUAUUGAUAUCAUCUGGUCAUUUUUAUAGGUGCCUGACUACAUAAUGAACUUUCUAGCUGUGUUGAUGACAACAAGAAGAAAAGCUUCUUUGACCAGGUGUGUCUUGGGUUGUAUCCUUGAAAUAUUUCACUGCCUAUGUUGGAUCGAUGAUGGAUCUCAUACUUGCAAGGGACAUUUACUAACAAACUACCAAAAAUAUCUAACUACUUUAUUGUGAUAAGUUUUUAUAUGAAAGUCACAUGCGAACUUGUCUGGUAGUAGCUUUCUGUUUGAAGUCAAUGGGAUUUCAUAUGAACAAGUGCGUAAGAAAGUAAAGAUUGUUCUUUUCCUGCUAAAGUUUUCAUUGUGCAGUUUUGCUGACUUAAUUCAAGCUAUCCUGGUGGACUGACAUCAUACAUCCAGAAUGCCAAAAGGCUUUUGGUAGAUUGCAAGGCAGGAUAAAAUCCAUACGAUGGUUCCACACCUUCAGUAAGUCUUGCCAUACACCAUCGUUUCAUGAAUUUGUUGGGUUGUUUGAAAUGAGCCUUUUUGUGUUGUAUGAGAUCUAAAUUUUCAAUUCAGAACACCCAUCUGAUCAUUUUCCCCCUACUCUGAACUGUUGUGUACUGAUAUUAAUUUAUCUCAUUUGCCCUUAUGUUAUUAUUCUGGCUGCAGGAUAUGUAACAGCCUUCUGUUUACAUGAUCUGAAAUAGCUCGGUGAACUUUCUUCCCACAUCAUGUUAGAAUUCUAUAUGGAGUCAUCUUGACACAUUAUUUAGUAGUAAUAAAGGCAAAAGAGUAUUUUUCAUGUCUCGGUACAUUUUAAUUUCAGGUACCACUACUAUGUUGCAAAUGAUAGAUUAGAUUAUUAUAAGCUUAGUUCUCUCAAAGCUUCGUGCUUUAAUAAUGGAUGCUGCCUUUUUCAAAGUACGAUAAAGAUUUGGAAUUAUUUGGAAUUCUUACACAAGGACAUCACCAAAGCAAGUGUUCCUUAUUUAAAGAUUACUUCAACUCAAAAUGUUGCUGUACUACUAUGUCUUUUUGAACUGAAAAGUUUCCAGAUCCCAAGUUUUCCUUGCUUAAAGAUUUCUUCAGCUCAAAUUGUUGUUGUACUACUAUGUAUUUUUGAACUGAAAAGUUUCCAGAUCACAAGUUUUCCUUAUUUAAUGAUUUCUUUCCUCAAAAUGUUACUGUACUACUAUGUCUUUUUGAACUGAACAGUUUCUAGAUCGCUAAGGAUUGUCCUCUUCUUUGUUUAGAGAACUCAACAUUCAGAUCUCGCUGGCGCUGGGCUAGAUGGGCUUGCUGGUAUUUUAUAGUCUGGUCAUAAGAAGAUUUGUUGUCUUCAAGUAAAGCUAAAUGUGAGCCACACCAACUUCCUUUAGUUCUUUAGAAUUUUGUUGUUGUCCUUUGGAUUAACAGUCUGCCACAGUGCUCAUGGCUCUUGCAUUCACUUAAGAAUCAGGGCAAGUGUGGUGAGUGUCGUGCUUCUGAAUAUGUUGUUCUACACUUGACAUUGCAGCACUCAUCUUUUAGAAUUUGCAUUAUUGCCACAAAUGAUUCCAGUAACUAGAAUCCAUGUUAGGGAACAGAAGCUGACAGGUACAAGCUAACCACCCUUGCAUAACUCGUUAGGUAGCAAUGGUGGUAGAUAAAUUGGCUAGCACUUGCAAUUAGCAACUUGUUUGCCUGUCGUACUUGGCAAAAUCUGUACUUGGCAAUCAACUACUCCCUCCGUCCGGAAAUAUUUGUCAUCGAAAUGAAUAAAAGACAAUGUAUCUAGAUGUAUUUUAGUUCAAGAUACAUCACCUUUUAUCUAUUUUGAUGACAAGUAUUUUUGGACGGAGGGAGUACUUUUUAUUUGAUUUUGGUUCAGGAAAUAGGACCUAGCUUCAGUUAAGUUAACUAUCGAUUUGCUUCAGGGUCAAUCUCUAUUCUUAGCAAAUUCCCAUGGUAGAGAAAAUCUGUAGUAUAAAUUAAGCGACAUCAUGAAACAUUUUGAAUCAAGAUAACAAAGAAGAAUUACAAGUUUGAUAAAGCAUGAGGGAUCAUUCAUUCAUUUACUUCUGAUCCCUUUAAGACUGCUGCUUCUCUGUUAAUACAAGACUAUAAAUAUAUAUCAAACCCCUAAACUUGCUUUGGUUUUUGAAUGUGAUUUUAACCUGCAACAUGGACCUGUCACUCAUCUGUACUGCCUAUCUUCUUGCUAAAAUAAGUUUAGUAAUACUGCUUAUGCACAUGCCAUCCCACAGCGCCAAAAAGCAACAAGUAUGGUAGCCUAAUUAGUAGCGCACCUUACCGCCUUAGUUGCAUCCUGAUGCUUUACAUCCUCUGGAUGUUUUUCUGAUUUUUUUUGCUUCCUCUAGAUGAACUCUUUUUACUGAACCUUCUACCAUUGUUGGUAGCUGAUGUUUAGAAGUCCAAGCAGCUCAACGUUUUACAGAUUCAUAUAUACCCCCUGUAACGAAGAAAUGGGUGUUUCCAUGGAUGGAUCGGGUUUAAUCUAUGCAUAUAUAUCACGCUUGAGGUCAGUUGUGUUUUCUCAGGUUUACGUAGGAAUGACAACUGUUUUUAGAAGCAAGAAACUUGAAUUCGGAAUGGAACCCUUGAUGGAUUGAUGUUUGAUGAAGAAAGUCCUUGCAGCAAAGAAGAACAUGAAGCAGUCCAACCAACUGCUCCAAGAGGAACCAAGGCGACGUGCAAGUUGGCGUUUGUGAAGCUUUGUCGGAGCCAUUCCUGCUCUUCCAGAGCCACAAGGAUAGCCUAAAAGUCAGGGCAGAAGCGUGUCCGGCUGUUGUACGAGAAGAAGUGUGCACGGCUGAGGAGCCAGGGCGCCAAUGGUGCGGAGUCGUUCGCCAUCAAGAGGACCAAAGCUGCCAUCAGUGACCACCGGAUCAAGCUCAACAUCUCCCUCGCCUCCGUCAACGCCCUAUUCCAGAGGGUCGUCGCCGUCCAUGAUGAGCCCGCAGCUCGCCGAGCUCAUCCAAAUGCGGGCAAGGAUGUGGCGACUCAUCGGCAACAUGCACUAGGUGAUGUAGCGCAUAGCGGACUAGGCGAGCGUGCUCCUCUCGUUGUGGGCCAUAUGGUUGGAGGGAGGCAUCAAGGGCUCGCUGCUACCGGGGCGGACAAGCGCACAAUUUAUAUUGAUAUAUCUUAUUUUGCCAAACAGCAAGAUAUAUGCUCCUGAUGCUAUUAACCUGACAGGGAAUUUCAGUUUCUUUCACAUGAUACAUCAAUAAAUAUACAGAGAUCUAGAUGUGUUGCAUUUCCGCUGGUUUCUUCUACUAUAAAUAUCAGUCUUUUCAUAGCAACAUUACAUGUAUACAAAACACACUACUUUAAAUAGGAUAGUAGAAGGGGCGCGUCCUACUUGGCACCGCCUUUGCUUCCGCUCAAGCGGCGCGCCACGGGCGCGCCCCAACCACUAGUAUGUAUAAAUACAGGGAGUUGCGAGGACAUGUACACACCAUCCGUCCAGUUCCUCGACAUAGAUCCUACUACCACUGAAACAUUCUUUUCUGUAGCCCCAUAAUUGGAGCUUAAUUUGAUCCUGUAAUUGGUUAAGGUCCAUGGCGAUCAGGUCUUUGCUGCUCCCUCUGGCCCUGCUGGCUCUCGCAGCUAGCUCGGCACGGUGGCUAAUCUAGAGAUCGGCUUCUACAGCAAGACAUGCCCCGACGCUGAGAAGAUCGUCCGCCAGGAGAUGGCCAAGAUCAUCGCCGCCGCGCCCAGCCUCGCCGGCCCGCUCCUCCGUCUUCAUUUCCACGACUGCUUCGUCAGGGGUUGUGAUGCCUCUGUCCUGCUCGAAUCCACCGACGGCAACGUGGCGGAGAAGGACGCCAAGCCGAACAAGAGCCUGCGAGGGUUCGGCUCCGUGGAGCGGGUGAAGGCCAAGCUCAAGGCCGCGUGCCCGGGCAUCGUCUCCUGCGCCGACGUGCUCACCCUCAUGUCCCGCGACGCUGUCGUGCUGGCUAAAGGACCCUUCUGGCCGGUGGCGUUGGGAAGGAGAGACGGUAGGGUGUCCAGUGCCACGGAGGCAAGCAACGAGCUGCCCCCGGCCUCCGGCGACGUCCCUCUGCUCGCCAAGAUCUUUGCCUCCAGGGGCCUCGACCUCAAGGACCUCGUCGUCCUCUCCGGCGCCCACAUGCUCGGCACGGCGUACUGCCCGUCUUUCGCCGACCGCCUCUACACCACCACCAGCGAGAACGGUACCUCUGGCCUCGUCGACCCGUCUCUGGACAGCGAGUACGCUGACAAGCUGAGGCUCAAGUGCAAGAGCGUUGAUGACCGCACUAUGCUGUCUGAGAUGGACCCUGGUAGCUUCAAGACUUCUGAUACCAGCUACUACCGCCACGUCGCCAAGCGGAGGGGUCUCUUCCGCUCCGACGCGGCGCUCCUCCUCGACGCCACCACCAAGGACUGCGUCCAGCGUAUCGCCACAGGCAAGUUCGACAGCGAGUUCUUCAGGGACUUCAGCGAGUCCAUGAUCAAGAUGGGCGACGUGGACGUACUCACCGGGGCCGAGGGAGAGAUCAGGAAGAAGUGUCAUGUCCUCAAUUAGUGCUUGUUCAUUAUUUACUGUAAGUGCACGAGUUCGAUGUUAGUUGUGUGGAACUAUUUAUUGUAGGAGUGAGAUUUAUUAUUGAGUAAAAAUCAUUUGUUCACCAA